rnacentral:rRNA from 1 species
UACGUAGGGGGCGAGCGUUGUCCGGAUUCAUUGGGCGUAAAGAGCUCGUAGGCGGCUUGGCAAGUCGGGUGUGAAACCUCCAGGCUCAACCUGGAGCUGCCACUCGAUACUGCCAUGGCUUGAGUCCGGUAGGGGACCACGGAAUUCCUGGUGUAGCGGUGAAAUGCGCAGAUAUCAGGAGGAACACCGGUGGCGAAGGCGGUGGUCUGGGCCGGUACUGACGCUGAUGAGCGAAAGCGUGGGGA